UACAGAGGUCUCAAGCGUUGUUCGGAUUCAUUGGGCGUAAAGGGUGCGUAGGUGGCGCUGUAAGUCAGGUGUGAAAUUUCGGAGCUUAACUCCGAAACUGCAUUUGAUACUGCGGUGCUCGAGGACUGGAGAGGAGACUGGAAUUUACGGUGUAGCAGUGAAAUGCGUAGAGAUCGUAAGGAAGACCAGUGGCGAAGGCGGGUCUCUGGGCCGAUACUGACGCUGAGGAGCGAAAGCGUGGGGAGCGAACAGG
rnacentral:rRNA from 1 species